rnacentral:rRNA from 1 species
AUUCCAGCUCCAAAAGUGUAUAUUUAAGUUGUUGCGGUUAAAAAGCUCGUAGUUGGAUUUUGGGCUCGGUCGUUCGGUCCGUCGCAAGGCGUGCACUGUUCGUUCCGUCCUUACCUUCGGUUUUCCGCCGGUGCUCUUGACUGAGUGUCGACGGCGGCCGAGACGUUUACUUUGAAAAAAUUAGAGUGUUUAAAGCAGGCGGUUCGCCUGGAUAAUGGUGCAUGGAAUAAUGGAAUAGGACCUCGGUUCUUUUUUGUUGGUUUACAGAACGCGAGGUAAUGAUUAAGAGGGACAGACGGGGGCAUUCGUACUGUGCCGUUAGAGGUGAAAUUCUUGGAUCGGCGCAAGACGAACGACUGCGAAAGCAUUUGCCAAGAAUGUUUUCAUUA